rnacentral:lncRNA from 1 species
CUGGUCUACAAAGUGAGUUCCAGGACAGCCAGAGCUAUAAAGAGAAACCCUGUCUUGAAAAACCAAAAAAAAAAAAAAAGAAAAAAAAAAGAAAAAAGAGAGAUCUCCCUUCCUAUUUAAGGCUGUUGCUUUGAGGGACUGACAUAUAAUAGCUCAGGGCUAGAGGUUAGCAGGUUGUUCCUAGAGCCUAGAGGGGAAGGUCUUGAUCUGGUCCAUUUCUGAGCUGGCUUUCGUUAUCAGAUUUUAAUAUCUAAAUCUUGACUCUGGCAGUCCCAACAAGCUAGAGUUGGUCCUUUGGUGACAGUACACUACUUAAAGAGAUACUUAGCGGCUGGAAAGAUGGCUCAGCAGGGUUAAGAGCACUGACUGCUCUGGCCCAGAGGUCCUGAGUUCAAUUCCCAGCAACCACAUGGUGGCUCACAACCAUCUAUAAUGGGAUCCGAUGCCCUCUUCUGGUGUGUCUGAAGACAGAUAUAGUGUACUCAUAUAAAUACAAUAAAUCUUAAAAAAAAAAGAAAGGAAGAAAGAAAAAGAAAUACUUAGCGACCAAAGGCAGAGAAAGGAUAUUUGUCCAGUGUGGUUACACUGUGAUGUUUAGAUGAAGGUGUCCAAGGACCCCAUGUCCAUCCUUUUAGGUUUAAAGAGAGGGCAAGAGGCAUGAGGACUAAGCAGUCCUCUUGACUGGCCCACCGUUGCCCAUCACCGUCUCAGUUCAUGUCUGCCUUACAAGGUGGUUCAAUAAAUACAGUUGCUAAUCCACCAGCUGCAGAGCAAGCGAGAGAGAGAGAGAGAGAGAGAGAGAGAGAGAGAGAGAGAGCAAGAGCGCACUCGAGAGAGAGAGAGAGCCUUACCCAUGGAUAGUUCUCAUCUGGGGAUGUGAGGGUUCUAGGUGUCCCCUGAGUUGUGUGCUGGGUGUCUCAAAGAAAGGUUAAGGAGCGCCUCUCACUGAGGCUUCAAGCAAACCAGAAGGAACGCAGCCGAGAUGCCAGCUUUCAUCCCGGUUUUCAUUGCCUUUCCGAGUUGUCAUUGUGAUACUACGGGGUUUCUCAUCUCUGGGCCUCGUCCUCCUGUCUGUCUUCCUGGAAACUGGGAGGGUGGAGCUGGGGAGUCAUUUUGUUAGUUUGUUUUGGGAUGUGUGUGUGUUUUCAAGAUAGGAUCUCACCACGUAGCCCUGGCUGUCCUGAAACUCACUCUGUUGAUCAGGCUGACCUUGAACUCACAGAGAUCUAUCUGUCUCUGCCUCCCGAGUGCUGGGAUUAAAGCUGUGUGGUUACUGCCUGGCUAGGGGCUCAGGAAUCUGGCUUGGGAAAGGAUUCUCUCAAGGUUUGAGCAGAGUCAUCCCUCAGUGUGAGGGGCUGGGCUUGAAGGCUGGCACCAUGGCUAGCUCACCUUGCUGGGGACACCGACAAAGGUCAGCCGGUUGCCUUGGCCUCUUUGGGUUCUGGUUUAUUGGUGAGGGGAGCUGGUCUCUCUGGAGAUUACCCGAGUUUCUUUUCAUUUAAUUGAUGUAUUGCUUGUAUCCGUAUAGGUGUUUUGUCUGCAUGUAUGUCAGUGCUCCACAGGCAUGCUUGGUGCCUACGGAGGCCAGAAGAGGACAUCAGGUCCCCUGUGAGUUACAGAUAGCUGCGAGCUGCCACGUGGGUACUUAGAAUUGAACUCAGGUUCCCUGGAAGAACAGCCAAUGCUGUUGACUUGGUGUGCUGUGUUGGAUCUCUGGCUUCGAUCUCCUGGACUCAGGAAAUCAGCAGUUCAGUUCACAGGAAUCAGCAGCAGAAGCUCGACCCACUCGCAGACACGAUACAGAUAUAACAGCAGUCCAGUUCCUUAGAGUCGGAAUAGCAAACAUGAAUCAGCGGCAGAAGCAUGAUCCAGCAGAAACAGCCAGGCCUCAGUUGAGUCAGCACAAGUCAGCCGAAGGGACCAGGACCACUAGGGAUGCCAGGAGAAGUUCUUUGCUGUGCCUCUCUCAAAGAAGCAGAGAUUAGUGAAGAUUCAAGACCAAGAAGAGUUACAAAGUUACUUAUGCAAGCCAGCCCCUAUCAAUGUCCAUUGGGUCCUAUUUAUAUUCCCUCAAAACAUCGUGUGCCCUCUACAGGUCUUGCCUCACCACCUGUCUUUCCUCAGUCCAUGAGUGUUGCCUUAGCAAAACUCCACGUGCGUCUUUAUCUGACAUCGUUCUAUCGGUCAGAGUCUUUGGAAGAGGCAAGAAGCCGCAGGAAUCUCUCCAUUUAUUUCUCUCUAUGAGUCUUGACCAUUGGAGCUCAACAACGCAUGUAAAGUGAACCAAUACAUGUGUGUCAUUAUCGAAGAAUCCUUCAUCAUGUGUCCUUUCAUGUGCUUGCUUUAGCAAAACAUUCUUCCACCUGUGUCUGCUUCAGCGAAACGUUCCUUCACAUGUCUGACUCCACCCAACACAACUGACUUUCCAAAGAACUGUUAAGUUUCCACUUCCCAGGGUGGGGGUACAUGCAUGAUGUGUAUGGAGGUCAAAGGACAACUUGUGGGAGUUGGUUCCGUCUUUUCACAGUGUAAGCUAAGGAAGCGCCGGUCAUCGGUCAUUGGCUUGGCAGCAAACACACUGAGAUAGCUCUUUCUAGCCCAACCCUCAGCUUUUCUUUCCUCCUCCCCUUCCUUCCUCCUCCUCCUCCUCUCUUCUUUGUCUUCUCCUUUCUCCCAUCUCAGGCUUGGAGAUAGAAGUUUCUGAUCUGGAUCUUGGUAUGGAGAUCUUAAGGCUUAGUGGCUAUGGAUUCCAGAAGAUUAAAUCUCCGAGUUCAAGGUCAUCUGGAUUGAAAGGUGUGGUGGAGCACACCUUUAAUCUGGGCUACACCUUCUGCUGGAGACAAUAUAAGGACAUUGGAAGAAGGGAGUCUUGCUCUUGCUCCUUCCCCUGCUUGCCGUGUGAGAUUGAGUAACUGCUAGAUCCUUGGACUUCCAUUAACAGCUACUACUGAACCAUUGUUGGGAAUUGGGCUGCCGACUGUAAGUCAUCAAUAAACUCCUUUACUAUAUAGAGACUACCCAUAAGUUCUGUGACUCUAGAGAACCCUGACUAAUACAGAUGGACUCUCAGUAUCUCACCUAUAGAGUUUAGGUUUUCCUCAACUCAUCCUGCCUCAGCCACUUAAAUGCUGAGAUUAUAGGUUUGAGCCACGAUCCGAUUCCAGGUGCCAGGAAGGAUUUUCUAAUAGACAUUAUAGUAGACCUAGCUUAGUUUUCUUAACUCCAUAUGGACAGCUUGUUUGAAUAUCCUAUUAAACACACACACACACACACACACACACACACACACACACACACACAAAGAGAGUACAGGCACUUGCUGCCAACCCCCCCCCCACACACACACACAGAGUACAGGCACUUGCUGCCAA